GGGCCGGCGCGGCGGGACGGCGGGCCCGGCAGGUCGGCCCGGUAGGCGCCGAACGGCGGGAGCGAGGUGGCGGGACGCUGGGCUGCGGGACAGGUGGGGGCGCCUGCGCUUCUCGGGCCGCACGUCCGAAGACCCGAGGCCACGCCCAUUGCCUGCUGAUGGACAGCUCCUUACCUGCCGGGUCGGAUUCCGCAGCGCGAGGUGGUAGCUUGGAACAGGCCUCGGGAGGAAUCGCCGCCGGCGCUCAAGCCUAAGUGCCUGGAGGCGUCCUAAUCGCCGUCUUCGCGACGAAGGAGCCUGCCCAUUGCGUCCCACCCCACCAGAAAGCCAAACACUGGCCUACAUCGGAAUCUUAAAGCGAUUUUAUUUUUAAGUAAUCUCUACACCCAACCUGGGGCUCAAACUCACAAGCCCAAUAUCAAGAGACUCAUCCUCUAUUCACUGAGCCAGCCAAGUGCCCUUCAAGUGCAAGUUCUAAUAGAGAAGGAGGCAUGGAACAUGUGAACUAGGAAUAUCGAUUUUCCCAGCAACCCAGAGCUGAGCCUUUAUUUCCUGAUGAAGUGUGUCAUUAACAAAUGGGACAUUUCUUAUGUUUAAGUUUGAGCAGAAACUUGUUCCUUCUGUUACGCGUUGAAUUGUGUCCCCUAAAAAGACAUAUUGGAGUCCUAACACUGGUACCUGUGAAUGUGACCUUAAUUUGCAAAUAGGAUCUUUGUGGAUGGCAUCAAGUUAAAAUGAGGUCAUACUGGGGGUGCCUGCCUGGCACAGUUGGUAAGAGCAUGGGACUCUUGAUCCCAGGGUCUUGAGUUUGAGCCCCACGUUGGGUGUAAAGCCUACUAAAAAAAAAAAGAGGGAGGUCAUACUGGCAUACUGGAUACUGGACCAAUGUGACUGGUGCCCUUUUGAGAAGAGAAGAGACACAGACACACAAGCAGAAGGCCCUGUGACAAAAAGAGGCAGCGAUUGGAAUGAUGCAUCUACACGCCAAGGAAUGCCGAAGAUUGUUGGCAACCACCAGAAGCUGGAUGGAACAAAGAAGGAUUCUUCCCUUGAGCCUUUGGUGGAGCAGAGUGAGCCUACUGACACCUAGACUUUAGAUUUCUAGCCUCCUGUGAGAGAAUAAAUUCUGCUGUGCUAAACUAA